AGCCAAUCUCAGUUCGGAUCGUAGGCUGCAACUCGCCUACAUGAAGUUGGAAUCGCUAGUAAUCGCGAAUCAGAAUGUCGCGGUGAAUACGUUCCCGGGUCUUGUACACACCGCCCGUCACACCACGAGAGUUUACAACACCCGAAGUCAGUGGCCUAACCGCAAGGAGGGAGCUGCCUAAGGUGGGGUAGAUGAGUUGGGGUGAAGUCGUAACAAGGUAAC
rnacentral:rRNA from 1 species